rnacentral:lncRNA from 1 species
UGAAGCUGUCAGACACUGAGACCUCGUGGAGAGAGAACAUGGAGGGAGAGACAUGUGAGGAGCCCCGGAGGCUCCAGCCCUGGAUGUUUGAGCCAGCACCUCUUAGGGUGACUCUGGUCCUGGCCGCCAUCUGACUGCAGCCGUGCGAGACCCCGAACAAGAACCGCCUGGCUGAGCCCAGUCUCCCGCCAGAACUGCGGAGUGAUGAUCAAUAAUGACGGUGGUUUUCCAUCACUAGAUUUGGGUGUAAUGGGUAUUAGUGUAACAGAAACAGCUCAGGGCUGGGAAUCUAAAGACCAGAGUUUCAGUACCAGCAACCCUACCUCCCAACUGUGUGAUCUUGAAUUAUAGCCUCAUCAAAUCUCAGUUCUUCAUCUGUUAAUUGCCUGUAAUGAUAUUUUCAGGUGGAGUUAUUUUCCCUUUGCCUUAUCCCUCCCAAUUCCAUUUUCUACCUUCUCCAGCCAGGAGAUAAAGCUCUAUGGACAGUCCAUCCUUCCCUCCCCCGCCAAUCUGUCUGCCUUGUUCCUGGCUUUGAGUUGGGUUCAGCCAAUGGAAGACAUUGCCAGGAGACCGGUGGACAGGAGAAGAGAGAGGUCAAGGUACUUGUCCCACCACCUGACCCCCUUGCCAAGCCACAGUUUUGACAAUGGCUGCUUUCCUCUGUAGUUAAGCUCCUCUGGGUGGCUCCUCUCCCAAAGGCAGCUCUUACCAGCUGUCUCUCCUUGCCCUUUGUUAAGGAAAAAGUUAUUCAGACACUUGUUAAAAUGGUAAGGAAGACUUUAUUCAGGACUGUGGCAACAGGGAGACUAGUCAGGACUAUUGCAAUAGGGGAGCGAGAUGGAGCUCAACUUGGAACACAACAAGGACAAAGCGGAUUUACAGCCAAGGAGCAGGGCGAGGGGGUCAGUGGAUGGAAGAUUACUAAGAGGAGACAUCAAGGAUCCCGGGAUUCUUGCUGAAGGCAGGAAAGGACUUAGACGUCAAAGGUGAGGGAGGAGGAACUUGAUCAGAUAUCAAGGGUCAUCAGAUAGCGAGAGUGGGGCGAUUCUCACUAAACUGACAGCAAGAUUCUCGCUGAGACCGGGCCAGGCAGGCCAAAGGCAGAUGGGGCCAAAGUCAAGGCCUAGUCGAGAAGAGGGCUUAGAGGAGCCUAGGUAAAGUUUGGUCAGGAGAGUCUUCAUCAUCCCUGGCACCUCACCGUCUCUUGUUGGUUCCCUCAACCCCACCCACACCUCUGCACACAGUCCUUUCAUUAAACCCUCUUCAAUGAAACAUCUGAGCAAUGGGUCGUCCUCUCCCGCCAGGCCCUGACUGUGGAUCCUUCCCACCUCACAGACCCGUUUUGAGGAUCAAAUGAGACAACGGGUGCAAGAGGGCUUCCUGAGCCCUGAGGAUAAGGAAGUUUUCUUCAUGAUUGAGAGGAAUCUGGUACAGUGCAAAGGGCACAGGGCACGGGGUUUAGGCUUAGUCCCGGGUUCAAAUCCUGGCCGUGCCCCUUGUUAGCUGUGCUGAGGGGCAGGUGCUUAUCUUCCCUAGGCCUCAAGUUCCCACCCUAUUCAUCAAGGAAAGUACUUCUCCCUCAUGGAGUCCUGGGGGAUGACAGAGGAAACAAGAGGGUUUCUCAGAUGAGCGUCCUUGGCUGUUUGUCUCCACGGGGGAAGGUGGACUCUGACGUCAGGGAGCCGAGGAGCUGGGCCUGGGAAGCCUCGGUUUCUUGAUAUUGUCUGGGCACUAGUUUCUCUGUAAAAGGACUUCAAGGUCCUGGGAUCGCCCACAACUUUAGUGGGAGCCCAGAGUGAGGCCAUCUGGACUUGAACAAUUUGUAACUUCUAUUUGGUCGUAAAGCUCAGGGGGUCAAAGCUUAAAGAAACAAGCAUUUUUCAAUGAGUGUAACUAAGGAUCCAGGGUCCUGGAGAUGUGUGCCUUUAGUUUUAGCCCAUCUCUGCUGGGUUCACUGAAGGGGAACUGAUAGCCGGGCUGAUAGCGACUAAUAGCCGGUCACACAUUGGCCCAGCCCACCCAGCCACCACCACCCCAUCUCCCACCUGGGAAACCGGGAGCAGUUAGGGCUGGAAUCCUGGGGAAGAGAAGUUCUUUUUCUGUUGGGCUGCUGAGGGGCGAUGAGGCCAGCCUGGGAGUGGUGGUGGAGAGCCCCCCUGAGCAGGACAGCAGCACAGAGGGCAGGAAGCCAAGCCAAGAGGCUGGGAGGGAUGAUCCCUGCUGAUGGCGUCGAGCACCCAGAGUCAUGCUCAUGCGACCACAAGGGCCAGUGUCUGGAGCCGCUACAGGGGAGGCCAGGAGCCUUCGCCACUCACCGUCCCUGGGGACACCCCCUUCCUUUGGGUCUUGCAGGACCCUAUUCCCCACUUGCACAGCAGAGGUCUUUCCAGAAUACGUGGAGUGCCUCGCUCAUUCUGGAACGGGAUGGGUCCCUCGCUGCCCUUUCCACGUCUCCUUGGAUCGCAGCUCAGAUCCUGCUAUCUCUGCCUCGUGGCCUCUCGGGGCUGCUGCAGGAGAGCCCAGGGACACCACAGUCCACCACAGCACAGCACUUAGGGCCCUGUGAGGCGAGAGCUGCCCGCCAGAAAGCACUGCCCACCAGGACCUCACACCAGCUGAGGAGGCUGUCGAGGCCCUGAGGCCCGGACACAGGGCUCAGACCAAAGGGACCCCAAAGGCUUCAUGAUGGCUGGGG